rnacentral:rRNA from 2 species
UAACUGAUUUGACAUUAAGACGAGUGGCGAACUGGUGAGUAACACGUGGGUAACUUGCCCCGAAGCGGGGGAUAACAUUUGGAAACAGGUGCUAAUACCGCAUAACAACAAAAACCACAUGGUUUUUGUUUAAAAGAUGGUUUCGGCUAUCACUUUGGGAUGGACCCGCGGCGUAUUAGCUAGUUGGUGAGGUAAUGGCUCACCAAGGCAAUGAUACGUAGCCGACCUGAGAGGGUAAUCGGCCACAUUGGGACUGAGACACGGCCCAAACUCCUACGGGAGGCAGCAGUAGGGAAUCUUCCACAAUGGACGAAAGUCUGAUGGAGCAACGCCGCGUGAGUGAUGAAGGGUUUCGGCUCGUAAAACUCUGUUGUUGGAGAAGAACUGGUGUCAGAGUAACU